GGGCUUAUAGCUCAGUUGGUUAGAGCAACGGACUCAUAAUCCGGAGGUCCUUGGUUCAAGCCCAAGUUGGCCCA
rnacentral:tRNA from 1 species